GUAAGGAAUAUUGGACAAUGGACGCAAGUCUGAUCCAGCCAUGCCGCGUGAAGGAUUAAGGUCCUCUGGAUUGUAAACUUCUUUUAUAAGGGACGAAAAAAGGCUUUUCUAAGUCGUCUGACGGUACCUUAUGAAUAAGCACCGGCUAACUCCGUGCCAGCAGCCGCGGUAAUACGGAGGGUGCAAGCGUUAUCCGGAUUCCCUGGGUUUAAAGGGUGCGUAGGCGGGCAGGUAAGUCAGUGGUGAAAUCCUAGAGCUUAACUCUAGAACUGCCAUUGAUACUAUCUGUCUUGAAUAUUGUGGAGGUAAGCGGAAUAUGUCAUGUAGCGGUGAAAUGCUUAGAUAUGACAUAGAACACCUAUUGCGAAGGCAGCUUACUACGCAUAUAUUGACGCUGAGGCACGAAAGCGUGGGGAUCAAACAGGAUUAGAAACCCGGGUAGUCC
rnacentral:rRNA from 1 species